GAGGGUAUAGCUCAGUGGUAGAGUGCCUGCCUAGCAUGCAUGAGGUCCUGGGUUCAAUCCCCAGCACCUCCA
rnacentral:tRNA from 1 species